rnacentral:tRNA from 1 species
GGAGGAAUGGCAGAGCUGGUUUAAUGCACCGGUCUUGAAAACCGACGUACCUUUACGGGUACCGGGGGUUCGAAUCCCUCUUCCUCCG